rnacentral:lncRNA from 1 species
UUUGCUCCUAAGGUCUGUAUUAUUAAAAUCUAGUUGGUGCUUGAUUGAUUAAAGCUUCAUUGCAAAUUUAAACAUAGAUGAUAGAUUUUAAAAGCCAUCAACAAUUGAAAUAAGUUUUGAACAAUUGAGUGCUUAUUUUGACAUAAUUUAUUUGCGGCUCAACUUGCCUCUAAUCAACUCUGAACGAUUGUCUAACGGCUCAA